AGGUUCCGCCCUAGCCUUGCUGGUGUACUCCUAAGUGGGUGCGGCAGGUCUGGAAAGACUUCCCGCUUGGUGUCUUUGCCCACUUUUGAGAGCUUUUCACAGUCAAUGGUUCAGGACAAGAAACACCUGGGCGGUGGGGGGAUGGAGGAGUGCAGUUUCCCUGAGGAAUGAGCUGGAACCUUCUCCACUCUACACCUAGGAGCCACCAGGUUCCAGAUGCCAGCAUGAUGCUGACCAGAUUUCCCUGGACAAAGGACCCCACCAAUGUGUCCUGGAGCUCCACUUUCCCAGAGCCCCACCCUACUAGGCAAAGAGAGAGAGGCAGACAGGGAGUAUGGAUCGACCAGGCAAUGCCCAUGUUCAGCGGGGAAGCAAUUACAGAAGCCAGACCUUCCACCUUCUGCAACCCACAAUGACCUUGGGUCCAUACUCCCAGAGGGAUAAAGAAUGGGAAAGCUAUCAGGGGAGGGGAUGGGAUACAGAGAUCUGGUGGUGGGAAUUGUGUGGAGUUGUACCCCUCCUAUCCUACAGUUUUGUUAAUGUCUCCUUUUUUAAAUUAAUUAAUUAAUUAAAAAAAGAAAAUACUUUGCAUAACUGAUAACGCUAUUUCCCCUAGCCACUUUCCAACACAAUUUCUAAAGAAUGUCUAACCUUAUCAAGAAUAUCCAGACAUUGUUGCACACAGCAUUUUAUACAAAAAUAAACAACUGAAAACU